CCUACGGGUGGCAGCAGUGGGGAAUAUUGGGCAAUGGGCGCAAGCCUGACCCAGCAACGCCGCGUGAAGGAAGAAAGCUCUAGGGGUGUAAACUUCUUUUCAUAGAGACAUAGAGAGUGACAGUACCUGAGUAAUAAGCCACGUCUAACAACGUGCCAGCAGCAGCGGUAAUACGUAGGUUGCGAGCGUUAUCCGGAUUGAUUGGGUGUAAAGGUCGUGUAGGCGGGAGGGUAAGUCAGAUGUGAAAUUUCGCGGCUCAACCCUAAGAGUGCAAUUGAUACUGUGUUCCUUGAGUGCUGGUGAGGCAAGCGGAAUUCGGGGUGUAGCGGUGAAAUGCGUAGAUAUAACGAAGAACACC
rnacentral:rRNA from 1 species